CACUGCACUAUGUUGACCGACAGUGGUCCCAUCAGUUUCUGCAUGAAUUUACAUUUUAAAUAAAUAAGUUUCCAACCCUUAUGUUUCCAAGAAAACCUUCCAGACAUGAACUGAUGUACUCUCUGUCCGAGUAUGCAGCAGACAGCCUGAAGCAAUAACCAACACAGGUCAAAUGCCUCCAUUAAUCUAAAUGGUUUGUUAACAAACACUGCAAGCCUAAGAAGGAUCAUUUAAACGUCAACAUUAUUUACUACUUCAAUACAGAUCAUUUUAGUGGAAGUAUUUUGUUACUCUGCAAUGGUAUGGAGAAGAGCUUGAGAAUAUGACCUCAGUGAACCACAGAGACUCAGAAACCAGAAGACAAAUAAAAUGAACCCAAAACGUU